rnacentral:rRNA from 1 species
GGGUCCACCUCCCACCCGUGUUUAUCAUACCUAGUUGCUUCGGCGGGCCCGCCGUCAGGCCGCCGGGGGGCAUCCGCCCCCGGGCCCGCGCCCGCCGAAGCCCCCCCCUGAACGCUGUCUGAAGAUUGCAGUCUGAGCGAUUAGCUAAAUCAGUUAAAACUUUCAACAACGGAUCUCUUGGUUCCGGCAUCGAUGAAGAACGCAGCGAAAUGCGAUAAGUAAUGUGAAUUGCAGAAUUCAGUGAAUCAUCGAGUCUUUGAACGCACAUUGCGCCCCCUGGUAUUCCGGGGGGCAUGCCUGUCCGAGCGUCAUUGCUGCCCUCAAGCACGGCUUGUGUGUUGGGCCCCCGCCCCCCGGCUCCCGGGGGGCGGGCCCGAAAGGCAGCGGCGGCACCGCGUCCGGUCCUCGAGCGUAUGGGGCUUCGUCACCCGCUCUGUAGGCCCGGCCGGCGCCCGCCGGCGACCCCCCUCAAUCUUUCUCAGGUUGACCUCGGAUCAGGUAGGGAUACCCGCUGAACUU